rnacentral:rRNA from 1 species
GCUCAGGAUGAACGCUGGCGGCGUGCCUAAUACAUGCAAGUCGAGCGAACGGACGAGAAGCUUGCUUCUCUGAUGUUAGCGGCGGACGGGUGAGUAACACGUGGAUAACCUACCUAUAAGACUGGGAUAACUUCGGGAAACCGGAGCUAAUACCGGAUAAUAUUUUGAACCGCAUGGUUCAAAAGUGAAAGACGGUCUUGCUGUCACUUAUAGAUGGAUCCGCGCUGCAUUAGCUAGUUGGUAAGGUAACGGCUUACCAAGGCAACGAUGCAUAGCCGACCUGAGAGGGUGAUCGGCCACACUGGAACUGAGACACGGUCCAGACUCCUACGGGAGGCAGCAGUAGGGAAUCUUCCGCAAUGGGCGAAAGCCUGACGGAGCAACGCCGCGUGAGUGAUGAAGGUCUUCGGAUCGUAAAACUCUGUUAUUAGGGAAGAACAUAUGUGUAAGUAACUGUGCACAUCUUGACGGUACCUAAUCAGAAAGCCACGGCUAACUACGUGCCAGCAGCCGCGGUAAUACGUAGGUGGCAAGCGUUAUCCGGAAUUAUUGGGCGUAAAGCGCGCGUAGGCGGUUUUUUAAGUCUGAUGUGAAAGCCCACGGCUCAACCGUGGAGGGUCAUUGGAAACUGGAAAACUUGAGUGCAGAAGAGGAAAGUGGAAUUCCAUGUGUAGCGGUGAAAUGCGCAGAGAUAUGGAGGAACACCAGUGGCGAAGGCGACUUUCUGGUCUGUAACUGACGCUGAUGUGCGAAAGCGUGGGGAUCAAACAGGAUUAGAUACCCUGGUAGUCCACGCCGUAAACGAUGAGUGCUAAGUGUUAGGGGGUUUCCGCCCCUUAGUGCUGCAGCUAACGCAUUAAGCACUCCGCCUGGGGAGUACGACCGCAAGGUUGAAACUCAAAGGAAUUGACGGGGACCCGCACAAGCGGUGGAGCAUGUGGUUUAAUUCGAAGCAACGCGAAGAACCUUACCAAAUCUUGACAUCCUUUGACAACUCUAGAGAUAGAGCCUUCCCCUUCGGGGGACAAAGUGACAGGUGGUGCAUGGUUGUCGUCAGCUCGUGUCGUGAGAUGUUGGGUUAAGUCCCGCAACGAGCGCAACCCUUAAGCUUAGUUGCCAUCAUUAAGUUGGGCACUCUAAGUUGACUGCCGGUGACAAACCGGAGGAAGGUGGGGAUGACGUCAAAUCAUCAUGCCCCUUAUGAUUUGGGCUACACACGUGCUACAAUGGACAAUACAAAGGGCAGCGAAACCGCGAGGUCAAGCAAAUCCCAUAAAGUUGUUCUCAGUUCGGAUUGUAGUCUGCAACUCGACUACAUGAAGCUGGAAUCGCUAGUAAUCGUAGAUCAGCAUGCUACGGUGAAUACGUUCCCGGGUCUUGUACACACCGCCCGUCACACCACGAGAGUUUGUAACACCCGAAGCCGGUGGAGUAACCUUUUAGGAGCUAGCCGUCGAAGGUGGGACAAAUGAUUGGGGUGAAGUCGUA